rnacentral:sRNA from 1 species
AAUCAAAAAGGUGGUGAAGAAACAAUGCUUUUUACAAUUGCGCGUUCUAAUUUAAUGACAUUCUUAUAUUUUGUUCGUGCAAUUAUUUCCACUAUUUUCGUUCAAGGGAUCAGUCUGUCCUUUUUUAAACAAACGAAUAGUCGAAAAAGAAGCAUUGAAUCUACCACAACGGUAUAAGUAUACAGGUUGGAGCGAUAGACGUGCUGUCUGUCGCUCUUUU